rnacentral:rRNA from 1 species
GAUGAACGCUGGCGGCGUGCUUAACACAUGCAAGUCGAGCGGCAGCGCGAGUAGUUUACUACUUGGCGGCGAGCGGCGGACGGCUGAGUAACGCGUGGGAAUGUGCCCUAAAGUGAGGGAUAACGCACCGAAAGGUGUGCUAAUACCGCAUAUGGUCUUCGGAUUAAAGAAUUUAUUCGCUUUAGGAGCAGCCUGCGUCGGAUUAGGUAGUUGGUAGGGUAAUGGCCUACCAAGCCGACGAUCCGUAGCUGGUCUGAGAGGAUGACCAGCCAGACUGGAACUGAGACACGGUCCAGACUCCUACGGGAGGCAGCAGUGAGGAAUCUUCCACAAUGGGCGAAAGCCUGAUGGAGCAACGCCGCGUGCAGGAUGAAGGCCUUCGGGUUGUAAACUGCUUUUAUUUGUGAGGAAUAUGACGGUAGCAAAUGAAUAAGGAUCGGCUAACUACGUGCCAGCAGCCGCGGUCAUACGUAGGAUCCGAGCGUUAUCCGGAGUGACUGGGCGUAAAGAGUUGCGUAGGUGGUUAUAUAAGUGAAUAGUGAAAUCUGGCGGCUCAACCGUACAGGCUAUUAUUCAAACUGUAUAACUCGAGAAUGGUAGAGGUUACUGGAAUUUCUUGUGUAGGAGUGAAAUCCGUAGAUAUAAGAAGGAACACCAAUGGCGUAGGCAGGUAACUGGACCAUUUCUGACACUAAGGCACGAAAGCGUGGGGAGCGAACCGGAUUAGAUACCCGGGUAGUCCACGCCGUAAACGAUGGAUACUAGCUGUUGGAGGUAUCGACCCCUUUCAGUAGCGAAGCUAACGCGUUAAGUAUCCCGCCUGUGGAGUACGGUCGCAAGACUAAAACAUAAAGGAAUUGACGGGGACCCGCACAAGCGGUGGAUCGUGUUCUUUAAUUCGAUGCUAAACGAAGAACCUUACCAGGGCUUGACAUCCAGGGAAUUUCUGCGAAAGCAGUUAGUGCCUUUUGGAACCCUGUGACAGGUGAUGCAUGGCCGUCGUCAGCUCGUGUCGUGAGAUGUUUGGUUAAGUCCAUCAACGAGCGCAACCCUUGUGAAUAGUUGUAUUUUUCUAUUCAGACUGCCCCGGUAACGGGGAGGAAGGAGGGGAUGAUGUCAGGUCAGUAUUUCCCUUACGUCCUGGGCUAGAAACACGAUACAAUGGCUAGUACAAUGCGCAGCGAAACCGCGAGGUGGAGCAAAUCGCACCAAAGCUAGUCCCAGUUCGGAUUGGAGGCUGAAACUCGCCUCCAUGAAGUCGGAAUCGCUAGUAAUCGCAAAUCAGCAAGUUGCGGUGAAUACGUUCCCGGGUCUUGUACACACCGCCC